rnacentral:rRNA from 1 species
GACGUAGGGGGCGAGCGUUGUCCGGAGUUACUGGGCGUAAAGGGCGUGUAGGCGGACCGGCGCGUCCCGUGUGAAAGCCCCCUGGCUCAACUGGGGGAGGUCAUGGGAAACGGUCGGACUGGAGCCCGGUAGGGGGCCAUAGAAUUCCCGGUGUAGUGGUGGAAUGCGUAGAGAUCGGGAGGAACACCUGUGGCGAAGACGGCCCACUGGGCCGGUACUGACGCUGAGGCACGAAGGCGUGGGGAGCGAACGGG